GCAAACUUGGUCAUUUAGAGGAAGUAAAAGUCGUAACAAGGUUUCCGUAGGUGAACCUGCGGAAGGAUCAUUAACAAAUCCACAAUCUACUACCUGUGUGAACGUACGCGUUGCCGACCACCACACCUGCUAGGGUGUGUCUGGGCGGCAAUCGCACCAUUACAUACCUUUGUUGUUGGAUGUAUACAUAUAUCAAUGGUCGACAACUUUUAACAAUGGAUCUCUUGGCUCUUGCAUCGAUGAAGAACGCAGC
rnacentral:misc_RNA from 1 species